rnacentral:miRNA from 1 species
UAAGGCACAACGUUGGCAUCUCU